rnacentral:rRNA from 1 species
AUUGAACGCUGGCGGCAGGCCUAACACAUGCAAGUCGAACGAGUGGCGGAAGGGUGAGUAAUGACUGUGAAACUGCCCGAUGGAGGGGGAUAACGACUGGAAAAUGGUGCUAAUACCGCAAACCGUCGGAUGUUCCCAGUUGGGAUUAGCUAGUAGGUGGGGUAACGGCUCACCUAGGCGACGAUCCCUAGUUGGUCUGGGAGGAUGACCAGCCACACUGGAACUGAGACACGGUCCAGACUCCUACGGGAGGCAGCAGUGGGGAAUAUUGGACAAUGGGCGCAAGCCUGAUGCAGCCAGGCCGCGUGUAUGAAGAAGGCCUUCGGGUUGUAAAGUACUUUCAGCGAGGAGGCGUUACUCGCAGAAGAAGCACCGGCUAACUCCGUGCCAGCAGCCGCGGUAAUAC